rnacentral:tRNA from 1 species
GGGACAUUAGUAAACUAAUUACAUAGCCUUGUCAAGGCUAAAUCACAGGUGAAAACCCUGUACGUCCCG